AGAGUUUGAUCCUGGCUCAGGACGAACGCUGGCGGCGCGCCUAACACAUGCAAGUCGAACGAGCGAGAGAGAGCUUGCUUUCUCGAGCGAGUGGCGAACGGGUGAGUAACGCGUGAGGAACCUGCCUCAAAGAGGGGGACAACAGUUGGAAACGACUGCUAAUACCGCAUAAGCCCACGGGUCGGCAUCGACCAGAGGGAAAAGGAGCAAUCCGCUUUGAGAUGGCCUCGCGUCCGAUUAGCUAGUUGGUGAGGUAAUGGCCCACCAAGGCGACGAUCGGUAGCCGGACUGAGAGGUUGAACGGCCACAUUGGGACUGAGACACGGCCCAGACUCCUACGGGAGGCAGCAGUGGGGAAUAUUGCACAAUGGGGGAAACCCUGAUGCAGCGACGCCGCGUGGAGGAAGAAGGUCUUCGGAUUGUAAACUCCUGUUGUUGAGGAAGAUAAUGACGGUACUCAACAAGGAAGUGACGGCUAACUACGUGCCAGCAGCCGCGGUAAAACGUAGGUCACAAGCGUUGUCCGGAAUUACUGGGUGUAAAGGGAGCGCAGGCGGGAAGACAAGUUGGAAGUGAAAUCUAUGGGCUCAACCCAUAAACUGCUUUCAAAACUGUUUUUCUUGAGUAGUGCAGAGGUAGGCGGAAUUCCCGGUGUAGCGGUGGAAUGCGUAGAUAUCGGGAGGAACACCAGUGGCGAAGGCGGCCUACUGGGCACCAACUGACGCUGAGGCUCGAAAGUGUGGGUAGCAAACAGGAUUAGAUACCCUGGUAGUCCACACCGUAAACGAUGAUUACUAGGUGUUGGAGGAUUGACCCCUUCAGUGCCGCAGUUAACACAAUAAGUAAUCCACCUGGGGAGUACGACCGCAAGGUUGAAACUCAAAGGAAUUGACGGGGGCCCGCACAAGCAGUGGAGUAU
rnacentral:rRNA from 1 species